UCAAUUGGUAACACUCAAACUCUGGCGGCAAUUUUUUUGUAUGGCACAAAAAGUGCCCCCACAGUUUGAGAACUACAGGUUGA
rnacentral:pre_miRNA from 1 species